rnacentral:rRNA from 1 species
UACAGAGGGGACAAGCGUUGUUCGGAAUUACUGGGCGUAAAGCGCACGUAGGCGGCUUUGUAAGUUAGAGGUGAAAGCCCGGGGCUCAACCCCGGAAUUGCCUUUAAGACUGCAUCGCUUGAACGUCGGAGAGGUGAGUGGAAUUCCGAGUGUAGAGGUGAAAUUCGUAGAUAUUCGGAAGAACACCAGUGGCGAAGGCGGCAUCCUGGACCGACAUUGACGCUGAGGCGCGAAAGCCAGGGGAGCAAACGGG